rnacentral:rRNA from 1 species
GAGUAACACGUAUCCAACCUGCCCUUUACUCGGGGAUAGCCUUUCGAAAGAAAGAUUAAUACCCGAUGGCAUAACAUGACCUCCUGGUUUUGUUAUUAAAGAAUUUCGGUAGAGGAUGGGGAUGCGUUCCAUUAGGCAGUUGGCGGGGUAACGGCCCACCAAACCUUCGAUGGAUAGGGGUUCUGAGAGGAAGGUCCCCCACAUUGGAACUGAGACACGGUCCAAACUCCUACGGGAGGCAGCAGUGAGGAAUAUUGGUCAAUGGGCGAGAGCCUGAACCAGCCAAGUAGCGUGAAGGAUGACCGCCCUAUGGGUUGUAAACUUCUUUUAUAUGGGAAUAAAGGGUGCCACGUGUGGCAUUUUGUAUGUACCAUAUGAAUAAGGAUCGGCUAACUCCGUGCCAGCAGCCGCGGUAAUACGGAGGAUCCGAGCGUUAUCCGGAUUUAUUGGGUUUAAAGGGAGCGUAGGUGGACAUGUAAGUCAGUUGUGAAAGUUUGCGGCUCAACCGUAAAAUUGCAGUUGAAACUGCGUGUCUUGAGUACAGUAGAGGUGGGCGGAAUUCGUGGUGUAGCGGUGAAAUGCUUAGAUAUCACGAAGAACUCCGAUUGCGAAGGCAGCUCACUGGACUGCAACUGACACUGAUGCUCGAAAGUGUGGGUAUCAAACAGGAUUAGAUACCCUGGUAGUCCACACAGUAAACGAUGAAUACUCGCUGUUUGCGAUAUACAGUAAGCGGCCAAGCGAAAGCAUUAAGUAUUCCACCUGGGGAGUACGCCGGCAACGGUGAAACUCAAAGGAAUUGACGGGGGCCCGCACAAGCGGAGGAACAUGUGGUUUAAUUCGAUGAUACGCGAGGAACCUUACCCGGGCUUAAAUUGCAAAUGAAUAUGCCGGAAACGGCAUAGCCGCAAGGCAUUUGUGAAGGUGCUGCAUGGUUGUCGUCAGCUCGUGCCGUGAGGUGUCGGCUUAAGUGCCAUAACGAGCGCAACCCUUAUCUUCAGUUACUAACAGGUCAUGCUGAGGACUCUGGAGAGACUGCCGUCGUAAGAUGUGAGGAAGGUGGGGAUGACGUCAAAUCAGCACGGCCCUUACGUCCGGGGCUACACACUUGUUACAAUGGG